UACGUAGGGUGCAGGCGUUAAUCGGAAUUACUGGGCGUAAAGCGUGCGCAGGCGGUUUGCUAAGACAGGUGUGAAAUCCCCGGGCUUAACCUGGGAACUGCGCUUGUUACUGGCAGGCUUGAGUGUGGCAGAGGGGGGUGGAAUUCCACGUGUAGCAGUGAAAUGCGUAGAGAUGUGGAGGAACACCGAUGGCGAAGGCAGCCCCCUGGGCCAAUACUGACGCUCAUGCACGAAAGCGUGGGGAGCAAACAGG
rnacentral:rRNA from 1 species